rnacentral:misc_RNA from 1 species
CAAAAAAAAAAAAAAAUCUUCCAAUGAGAAAAUAUAUAUAUAUAUUAUUGCCACCGCCAACCUGUUACAUUGGGCAUCUCAUUAAUCUUUUCCGGAAUUGAUAAAAUACUAGAAUGAAAGCAAAUGAAGGGGAUAAAAGGGCCAACAAACCCAAUCAGUACCAACUGAUACGAAAACAACAUCAUAUCGAAACAACAUGACGACAUGUGAAGCGUAAACACAUUUGGGAUGCAAUUCUAUUGCAGCCUGCCACUGAAGUUAUCAACUGGAAACAUAUUUACUUCCCGUAUUUCAGGUCAUGCCACACAGAUUGCAACCGCAGCUUGGCAAAUUUCCACGAAAGUUCCUUUGGCCCAUCCGUGGAAAAUCCCAACACCAUCUAUAAAAC